GGAUAUAAGGGUGAUCUGGUUGCGACAUCUGUCACCCCAUUGAUUGCCAGGGUUGAUUCAGCUAAUCUGGCUGGCUAGGUGGGUGUCCCCUUCCUCCCUCACCACUCCAUGUGCAUCCCUCCCGCAGUUUCAUGCUCGGUUGAAGAUGACAACCUUCGCCAAUAGGAGAACUGUCCUUCAGUCAAGGGUAUACGAAUAGCUGUGCUCCCCUGCUAGACCCUCCAAACAAGUCUCAAGAACUAGAGGCAAGUUGUGUGUUUCAUCAUUGUUACACU
rnacentral:snRNA from 1 species